AUUUACCAGUUGCCUAAUUACGAAAAGUUUCAUAUGACAUUAACCUCAAAAAUGAUCUUUGAAAACAAACAACAACAAACAGAGCAACAAAUGAACAAAUAACUACAUAAUGACUGAUAAUGAUAAGUGAUAAAAAUAACUUUAAUGAUAUGAAGGCUGAUGAAGUUUUAGACAACCAAUACAAGAUUUAGAACUUGACAUCGUGAUAAACAAAUUGUACAUUCAGCAACUCGUUUAAAUAUUAUAGGUUGAUUGACGAAUACUCUACAGUUGAUUAGAGCCCAUGAUGAU